UGAAAUCACAAUUAUCAUUCUCACGUAGUUUGUGUGUUAAUUUUGCCAAUUCCGCAUAGUCCAUCAGUUUUUCUUGCCACAGUUCUUUCAUCAGGAUUUCCUCACUCUUCCACCCUUGUGCUAUGAAGACUCUUGCCGCUGUUGUCGCAUACAUAAAAAUAUUUUUUAAUUUCUUUGGCAGGUCUUUUCCCUCAAUCCCUAAUAAGAAAGCUUCAGGCUUUUUCACAAAUGUUGAAUGGAACGUUUUCUUUAGCUCAUUAGAUAUCAUUUCCCAAAACAUUUUAAUUUUACUGCAGUCCUGGGCUGGGCUGGAUGAAUCCCAAACUGGAAUUAAGAUUGCUGGAAGAAAUAUCAACAACCUCAGAUAUGCAGAUGACACAACCUUGAUGGCAGAAAGUGACGCGGAAUUAAAGAACCUUUUAAUGAGGGUGAAAGAGCAGAGCACAAAAUAUGGUCUGAGGCUCAACAUCAAAAAAACGAAGAUCAUGGCCACUGGGCCCAUCACCUCCUGGCAAAUAGAAGGGGAGGAAAUGGAGGCAGUGUGAGAUUUUACUUUCUUGGAGAUGGUGGUGUUGGGAUACUGCCAGGGAGACAAAGUCCAUCAUGGCCCCCAAGCCGGCUGCCGGACGAUCCAUCGAUCUCCCGUAGGUACGCAGUAUCAGCAAUUAGCGACAUGAGUUUCUAGAAGAUUUCUUGCCACAUUCCAGAGCUCAUGCACACUCUAUCAGCAGAUAAUGCACAGCCAAAAGUUGCACUCAGGAGAGCAUUAUUUACAAGUUUAUUCAGCGUUGAUCAGAACACAGAAAAACAUGACUGCCUGCUUUAGUGUCUACGACACACAGAGAGAAAACGAAAGCAAUAGCAAACAUAAACAUCCUGUGAACAGGAAAUACGCAGACUCUGUGACUCACAGCCUGCUCCCUUUUAAGGUGGAACGGAAAUAUCCUAACAGGUGGGACAGCGUUCUCGAAGCUACAAACAUGAGUUUGACCAAACUGCGGGAAGCAGUGGAAGACAGGAGUGCCUGGCAUGCUCUAGUCCAUGGGUUCACAAAGAGUCGGACACGACUAAACGACUAAACGAUAACAACAACAACAACAACAACAACAACAACAACACGGUAUAUUUGCAAACCAUUUGUAGUCAUUGUUUAGCAGAGAGAUAGGCUUGUAGUUUGUUGUUGUUGUUGUUUAGUCGUGUCCAAUCAGAUCAAUACUUUCUGUACUAAGAAAUACAAACUGACAAGUCUGACUCUAUAGAUAUUCCCCUGGCUCUAUAUUCUCCUCACAGAUGAUCAGAGCCAGUUCUCCCUCCAUCCAACCCUCUCUCCCAUCUCAAAUCCAGCCCUCUUCAACUCUCUCCCUUUUAUUGCCCUGCCCAAAGUCCUGGCUCCAUCCCCUUCCCUCUGUCAAGGUAGCCAAUCAGAGAGGCUCUGGCCCUCUGGUGGAAUUCUCAGGCACUGCAUCCCCAGACUCUGCUGUCCAUCAAACCUCCGUCUUAUAUUGGUGCAUCUGGUUCUUCCUGCCUAAGUGCAAAGCUUUACUUUUCUCCCUACUGAAAUUCAUUUUGUGAGCUUGGGCCCGGUUCUCCAAUCCAUUAAGGUCAUUUUGAAUCCCAAUUCUGUCUUUUGUGGCAUUAGCUGCUCUUCCCAGUUUGGUUCACCUGAAAAUUUCAUCAGCAUCCCCUGAAUUCCUCCACCGAAUUUUUUUUUAUAAAGUAGUUGAGCAACAACGGGCCCAGGACAGAAUCAUGUGGCAUCUCACUUGUCACUUCAUCCCAGGAUGACGAAGAACCAUUACUGAAAUCUUCGGAUGAAGGGCAGAACAUGACUUUUAUAAAUAAUAAAAAGGAUAUCAACAAGCUGAAACAUGUACAGAGGAUGGCAACCAAGAAUCUAUUGAUUUAUUGAUUGAUUUGAUUGAAUUUG